rnacentral:rRNA from 1 species
AUGUUCACAUAUUCAGAAAAUGUUUGCAUUUUCAAAAAAUAUUUUUGUUUUCUAGUUUUAUUCAAUUGUUUCAAAAAGUAUUCCUGUUUUAAAAAUAUCACAUAUUUAAUUUGUUUCGUCUUUCCAAAAAUUGUUCGCAUUUUGAAAUCUUAUUCGGGAGUUUCAAAAAAUGUUUGCGCUUUCAACUUUUCAGAAAUGUUCCUGUAUUCAUAUUUUGUUCAUAGAUCCAAAAAAAGUUCUACUUUCAAUUUUUCUGUGGUGUCUCGGAAAAUGUUCCGUUGUUUUAGAAUUGUUCAGUGA